GACGGAGGGGGGCUAGCGUUGUUCGGAAUUACUGGGCGUAAAGAGCGCGUAGGUGGUUUAGUAAGUUGGAAGUGAAAAGCCCCGAAGCUCAACUUCGGAAUUGCUUUCAAAACUGUUAGACUAGAGUGCGAUAGGGGGUGAUAGAAUUCCUAGUGUAGAGGUGAAAUUCUUUGAUAUUAGGAGGAAUACCGAUGGCGAAAGCGAUCACCUGGGUCGAUACUGACACUAAUGCGCGAAAGCGUGGGGAGCAAACAGG
rnacentral:rRNA from 1 species